ensembl:rRNA 5S_rRNA 5S ribosomal RNA
GUCUAUGGCCAUACUAUGCUGAACGAGCCUGAUCUCGUCUGAUCUCCAAAGCUAAGCUGGAUAUGUUCUGAUUACUACUUGGAUGGGAGAUUUUAUGGAGCUUUGAAAAUGUUUGUGACA